GAUGAAGAACGCAGUGAAAUGCGAUAAGUAAUGUGAAUUGCAGAAUUCAGUGAAUCAUCGAAUCUUUGAACGCACAUUGCGCCCAUUAGUAUUCUAGUGGGCAUGCCUGUUCGAGCGUCAUUUCAACCCUUAAGCCUAGCUUAGUGUUGGGAGACUGCCUAAUACGCAGCUCCUCAAAACCAGUGGCGGAGUCUGUUCGUGCUCUGAGCGUAGUAAUUUUUUAUCUCGCUUCUGCAAGCCGGCCAGACGACAGCCAUAAACCGCACCCUCUCGGGGGGCACUUUUUUAAUGGUUGACCUCGGAUCAGGUAGGAAUACCCGCUGAACUUAAGCAUAUCAAUAAGCGGAGGA
rnacentral:misc_RNA from 1 species